ACGCCAUACCACAUUGAAAACACCAGUUCUCGUCCGAUAACCGAAGUUAAGCAGUGUCGGGCCCGGUCAAUACUUGGGAGGGUGACCACCUGGUGCUGUAGGGU
rnacentral:rRNA from 1 species